GUUAAGUCAGGCAACGAGCGAGACCCACGCCAACAGUGCCAGCUCGUCCUCCCGGGGAUGGUGGGGACACUGUUGGGACCGCCUCUGCUAAAGAGGAGGAAGGAAUGGGCAACGGUAGGUCAGCAUGCCCCGAAUUAUCUGGGCUACACGCGGGCUACAAUGGGUGGGACAAUGGGUAUCGACACCGAAAGGUGAAGGCAAUCUCCUAAACCCAUCCGUAGUUCGGAUUGUGGGCUGCAACUCGCCCACAUGAAGCUGGAAUCUGUAGUAAUCGUGUCUCAAAAUGGCACGGUGAAUAUGUCCCUGCUCCUU
rnacentral:rRNA from 1 species